UACAGCAGAUCUGUUUUGUUCAGAUCGAAGAUUAAAGAUUAAAGAUCAUGAUGGGACUACUUCAGAAACAGAUUCAAGGUCCUGCUGAAUAGAAUAGAAUAGGAUAGAAUUAAAAUAUGCUUUGUUGUCAUUAUACAGUGUAUAACGAAGUUGGACAGCUUCUCCUUUUCAGUGCAAGAAAUCUUUAAAAAUAGUGCAAAACAGUCUAUUUACAAAUAUACAUAUAAAUAGCAGUGUGAAUAUAAAUAGCAAAGUGAAUGAGGUAGUGGUGUAUAUUGCACAUUUCACAUUAUAUUGUUGGCUGGGUGUGAGACAUGAGACGUGAGAGUUCAGGGUGAUGAUGGCUCUCGAAAAGAAUCUGUUUUUAAGUCUGUUUGUCCUCGCUUUAAUGCAUCUGUAGCGCCUUCGGGCAACAGGUCAAAAAGCUGAGAACCGGGAUGUGAACUGUCCUUGAUGAUGUUCUGAGCUCUGCCGAGGCACUGGGUGGAGUAAAUGUCCAUGAGGGAGGGGAGAGGACAGCCAACAAUCCUCUGUGCUGCUUUGACUGUCCUCUGAAGCCUCGCUCUGUCUGCCUCAGUGCAGCUCCUGUACCAGGUGGAAACAGUACGUCAGCAGGUUCUCUAUGGAUGAGCUGUAGGAGGUCAGCAGCAGCUUAGAAUAGAAUAGGUGAUAUAGACCAAUGAUACAGAAUAUGAUGAUAGAGACUGGUUCUAGGUCCGUGUAUAUUUUGGCAAUUGGAUAUUCCGUUCUGAAACGGUUAUUGAAAAACAAAAAACGAGUGGUUAGUUGAUUUUCGUUUUAAAACACAAAAAUUAAAAUUGAAAUACAAGGCGUUUUUCCUUUUCAUGAUCAAAAGGGGAUAUACGAAAUUUUAAAAAUGCUCUGAUUUUCAUUUUAUAUUUAGAAUAACAAAAAAAGUAAAAUCAGUAAGAGAAACGAAAAAAGGUCCGUUUUUUCAUUUUCUGAGACCGGAAGUGGUCAUCAGCAAGUGUGGAGCCAAACUGAGUACGGUGCAUAGACUGGAUAAAAUUUUUUUUUGGUUAGUUUUCAUGGUCAAAAUGAGAGAUCAGGUGGCUGAUCUUAAAAUAAAUCAAUAUUGAUUUUUUUUAUAGAACGUUAAAGUUUUACGAAGCCAGGGGGCGGGGCUACUUGAUUGACAGUCUGGUCUGGAAUGAUUGACAGGUCCUAUGGAGGAGGCAGCAGAGACUCUGCUCUCCUCGUUUGGAUUAAUUCUGAUAUAAUAACUGUUGGUUUAUUUAUCGGUGCAGCAGCAGAACCUUCUCCACAGACAGUUUUCCUGCCUGUUGGCUUGUUUUAACCAGUUUUCUACCUUCGGCUGAUUCUACUAGCAGACACUGAAAGGACUCUGAUAUUUCGGUGUCUCAUGUUCACUGUGAGGAUCUUCUGAGUGAAGCCAGCAGAAGGAAAACCUCAUCUGGAUGUGAAGAAGGAGACUGAAUGGACGACAUCCUCAGUGAACAACUUCUUGUUUAGCUUUCACUUACAGAAGCUCCAGCAGCGAGGUGUCACCAGCUCUGACCAGGAAGAAGAUCUUCACCCUGACAUACUUCAGAGCUUCUGCUGACGUGGACCAUCCAGCCAACCGGAGACAGACGCAGCUGCAGCUCAGCCAAUCACAGGCCAGCCCGCAGCUGUAAUAUGAGAAGUUAGACAGCAGGAAGAUUAGAAUAAUUUAUUUAUUAUAAUAAUCCUAUUUAUUAUAAUAACUUCAGACUGAGCAGCAGCAAGAUCUGUCAGACAAAGUAACUCUAUUAGAAUAAUUAUAUUUCUUACAAUAAUUGUAUUUAUUAGAAUAAUUCUAUUUAUUAGAAAAACUUUAUUAUAACAACUGUAUUUAUUAUGAUAAUAAUUAUAGUUAUUAUAAUAACUUAAUUUAUUAUGAUAACUUUAUUCAUUAUAAUAAUUCUAUUUAUUAUAAGAACUUAAUUUGUUAAGAGUAAUUAAGAUUUGAGGGAUGGGCUCGGUCUAAAACCUACAUUCUGGCCUGGUUUAAACAUUUCUCUACCACUUUUGAUGUGUGUUUGCGAUCAGUGUCUUGUGAACAUCAAAAAACAAAACCUUCUGCUGAUGGUUUUAGGUUUUCCUGAACAAUGCUGAGAUGAUCCUCCUUCUUCAUGAUUCCAUGUAGCAGCAGUUUCAGCGCCAGAUGAUGCUCUGAUUGGAGUUAAAGGCUUCUGUCCUCCAGAUAUAUUUCUGCUCUUUGUGGCCAAAUAGCUCCAUCUGGUUUUCUUUUUCUCCAGAAGGCUUUUCUUUGUCCAUCAGCAGCAACCUUCAGAGGAAGACCGUCCUUCUUUAUGGAAACUUCUCAGACCUGCUGUUUCUCUGAUUCCUGGUUGACGCUAGAUCAUCUUUAAAACUCGUCUCCUAGCAGCAGGUGACUGUUUGUGAUCAUUUUCUUUCAUGGCAGUGACACAACAUCUACACCACAGCUUUUAUUUACACCGCCAAGUUUUAGGACACACAAUAAAACAGAUUUCCACCAUCAGAAAAGUCCUGUGCUGUACCUGCUAGGUUUCUGUAAUGUUCUUCAGUCCAUGCUGAGCUUCACAGUUAUCUGAUUAUUUCUAAACAUCCUCCAGCAGUAAAUUUGGACCUGACUGACUCCAACACAAAGAACCGCAUGACAAUGUGUGUUGAGGUCUGAGUGGUUCAUCAUAGAACAAAAGCGCUGGUGGUGUAAUACCUGAAACCAUGAAGCGGAAGAACCUGACACCUGAUGAGCUUUACAUGGAUAGAUGGAACUGGAAGUGACUGGUUUCAGAUGUUUGAACAGUUUUAGGACUAAACAGGACACUGGAGGAGAAAGAUUUUUCUACUAAUAUUUCCACUAAUAUUUCUCAAAUGUUUGCAGUAUUUCUUUUGCUGCUGUAACAAUGCAGAUUUCUCCACUGUGUGAUUAAUAAAAGCUCAUCAUGUUGUAUUCCACGUCACAUUAAGUAAUAAAUACAUCCAAUAGAAACGCUGACACUUUCAGCCAAUUUUAACCAGUAAAAAGCCGAUCCUCUCUGAAACUAAAUAGUCUAAAGAGCUUAGAUAGCCUACCAUGCCCCCCCACAACAAAAUACCACCUAAUUUUUUUUAACCUUUAUGAUGUCCUCAAUGAGACUUUGAGUGCUAACAGUAAAAUAACUCAUUCCCACCAUAAUUUUUACACUAUUUUUACUUUAGCCCAAAAUGCGUUUUUUUCCCACCAAUUUUUCGGUUCGUUUUUACUGAAAAUUGACAUAGCUAUUGUAGCAAUUUCACUCAUGGUAAUCACAACAUAUUAUAUAUCCUAUAAAUCCUGGAAUCUCUAGUUUACAAAUAUAAUCAUAUUUUUCUUGUGUUUCCAUUACAAUAGAAAUGACAUAUGAUACAAUGACAGCAUGUCUGAGUUAACUUUUUCAUAGAAAUGUUCAAUGUUAGCAAAUCAAACUUUAUUUUAUAUAUAUAUUUAUGUCAACUUUUUUAUUGAUAUAUAGUACAUUCCUGAUAGAAUAUAUUCUAUAUUGCAUAUCUGCACUAUAAUAUUAUGCAUUGCAAUGUUUUGUUGCUUACAAGUAUUGACUUCCUGCAUUAUCUUUGGAUUCAUUUUGGAUCACUUUUCAUUCCGUUUGUUGUUCUUGUUACUUUAAGACUUUAUGUUCCGGCUGAGUUAAGGAUGUUUUAAAGGCUUUUCACUAAAGGAUGAGGGUCCAUCAUGGGUAAAACCAGCAGAUUUCACAAAAUUUCAGAUUUUACCCCAGAAGUAGCAGAUACACUGUACAUAGCAAUGUAAAUAAUCUUUGUUUGAGGAUUAACGUUUGCAGAGACAGGAAGUGAGGAGAACUGACUGAGUGAACUUCCUGUCUCUGCAGCUCACAGGAUGGAGCUUCGACCACAACUAUUUCACCAACUCAACAUCGUGUCUGUUUCCCUGGAAUUAGCUUCAAACCACAGAUUUGUUCUAAACAGUUUACAGUUCUCUGUUGGUUCCUUCAGGUUCUGUUAAAUAACAGCAUGCUGUAACAAAUUGCUGUAAAAAUACAGCAUAUUUUGUCCAGUAAUAUACCGUUCUUUGUAAAUACAGCUGAAUACUGUAAAUUCACAUAUUUUUAAAGAACAACCGUCCAAUCUUACAGCAGAUUACAGCAUUUUUCUGGUUUGGGUCGAUUUGAGUGUGACUGUUGCUGCAGUCCGACUGUUACUCGUCUCAACAAAUCUUCCUGCACAUUAACACAUUUAGCAAACAGUCAACACAAAGAAGUGACGAAAUAGGUUUAAAAUAGUAAGUAUCAGUGAUUUUACUCAUUACUGAGGGAAGAAUUAGGAGAAAAGGAAGAACUGAGGACGACAAUUUUCGACCACCUGUAGCUGAUCCAUCCUGCUCCGGUUCACUAAACAAGGUAACUGUGAUUAUUAAACAGUCAGCCAUAUUUUUAAUUCUGUCAGUCUAUUUAUGUUUUUUUCUUUGACAGUAACAUAAACAUAGCCAGUUAGUUACUGCUUGGUGUUAGCCACGAGUCGCUAGCAUGAAUGCUAAUGUUUCCCACACUGUUAGCUAGCAGCUAGCAUGAAUGCUAACGUUUCCCACACUGUUAGCUAGCAGCUAGCUAGCUAGCAUCCUCCCCUUUAGCUGCAGAGUGGACAAAACUUUGGGUCUUUCUUUUUAAACCAGACCAGGAAAAUGAAUUUCUAAGCAACCAGAUCUAGCUAGGUUAGGUUAGCUAUCUCUGUCUUUCGUUUAAUUUUCCAUCAAAUAUACAAUGUGAUGCUCCACUGAUCUGUUAUCACAUCUCCACAUGUACUUGUCUGCUUUCGACCAUUUAGGUAAUUUCAAGUUUUAUAAAGGUUGUAGGAUGUGUCAUGUUGCUUUUCUCUCCACUUAGGAAAGGUAAUUUUGGGUGUUAUGCAAACGGCUGCAAAAAUUAGAUUUAAAUGUGUAUUGAACUAAAUAGCUGUUUUAAGUGGAAGCCUCUGUUUUGCUUAAUAAUUUGAGUUUCCUGUUUUUUUAUUUUAUUUUUUGUUUGUUAGUUUUUUGAGGAAUGUGACAGAGUUCCAUAUUAUGUUCAAGGGAUCUUUGCCUACACACCUAAUAUAUUCUUUCUUUGUCAUUUCGUUGUAGGCUCUUUCUUGGUAUCAACCCUGAAAGGGGAACAAAGGCAGCCAGGAGAAGGUGAUGUUCAAGAGGUCCGGAAGCUGUUCCAGAAAAAGGCAUCUACUGUAAAUCCACAUGUAGCCUCCUUUAUAAAAAGACUGAUGGACUCUGAGUGGGACUUCAUGUAAACCCACAGCACCUCUCCACACAGGACUUCACUUUCACAAAGCAAAAGCCCCGUCUGCAACCAGAUGUUCAUGUUGUCAUUUUAAGGUAACAAGUCUCAGUAUUGUGUUGGGUUCAGUAUAAAAUACUUCAGUUCCAGGUUUGUUCCAUGACUUGGUGUUUAUUGAACAUGAUCAUGAGUUAUGAAAGACUGAUUCUGAAGGCAGGGUUCCUGAAAUGUGAUAUGCAAUUUUUAAAUAGAUUGUUGACAACUUGUUAAAUAUCAUGAAUUGUUUUUAUAGAUUUUAUUUUACAAGACUUGAAUUACUUGACAUUUGUUAGCUGCUGAAUGUGUUCAAUCAAACUCAGUGUACCUGAACUAGAACAUGCAGAAUGGGAACCUGUUCAGCAUGAGGAAAUGAUUGUAUGUUACUGAAAUUGAAUGGGUUAGAUAGGUCAGUUUUUGAACUAUGUUUGAUACAGAAUUGGCUUUAAUAAAAGCUAAAUGUUGAA